rnacentral:misc_RNA from 1 species
CCGAGCGGAACGUGUCCGGGCCUCGGCCCGGGCUCAGUACCUCACCACCCGUGUCUACUUUAAAAACCGUUGCUUCGGCGGGCCCGCCGCCCAGUCGGCCGCCGGGAGGCCCAGCGCCCCUGGCCAGCGCCCGCCGAAGACCCCCCGAACACUAGCCUGAAGGUUUGCUGUCUGAGCGGUAAAAAAGAAUAUCGUAAACA